CACGCAUGACACACUGCAUAUCAAUAAGCGGAGGAAAAGAAACUAACUAGGAUUCCCUUAGUAACGGCGAGUGAAGCGGGAAGAGCUCAAAUUUGAAAUCUUCAAGGUUCUACCUUGACGAAUUGUAGUUUAUAGAAGUGUUUUCUGUUAGUGAGUUUGGUAAAAGUUCUUUGGAAUAGGACAUCAUAGAGGGUGAGAAUCCCGUAUUUGGUACCAUUAUUUCCAGCUGUGUGAUACACUUUCAAAGAGUCGGAUUGUUUGGGAAUGCAGUCCAAAAUGGGUGGUAAAUUUCAUCUAAAGCUAAAUAUUGGCGAGAGACCGAUAGCGAACAAGUACCGUGAGGGAAAGAUGAAAAGAACUUUGAAAAGAGAGUUAAACAGUACGUGAAAUUGUCAAAAGGGAAGCGUUUGACACCAGUGUUGUUUUCUCGAAAAUCAAUUAAAAAGGCUUUGAUUUUAAGUGAUUGUUAUGACUUUAUCAGGCUUACUGCACUUUUUUCAUGUAACUUUCUUAAUGCACUUUUCAGUUAACAAGUCAACAUCAAUUUCUUUGUUGUAAAAGGGUAUGAGGAAGGUGGCUUUCUUUUCGGAGAAAGUGUUUAUAGCCUUGUACCUCUGCAAUCGGAGAGAUUGAGGUCUGCAGCGUAGAUCCUUCGGGGUUAGAUACAUUUGUGCUAAGUUAUAGCUUUUCAUAGACAACUUGUUGACUAUGUUAAGUCUUGUAGCUUACUCGCUUAUGCUAUUUUACCUACGCUUAGGAUGUUGACUGAUAUGUAGUCGUA
rnacentral:rRNA from 1 species